GACAGAGGUGCCGAGCGUUAGGCGGAAUCACUGGGCUUAAAGCGUGUAUAGGCGGAUGGGGAAGUACCUUGUGAAAUCCCACGGCUCAACCGUGGAACUGCUCGGUAUACUGCUCGUCUUGAGCCAACUAGGGGCGACCGGAACAAACGGUGGAGCGGUGAAAUGCGUAGAUAUCGUUUGGAACGCCGAUGGUGAAAACAGGUCGCUGGGGCUGUGCUGACGCUGAGACACGAAAGCCAGGGGAGCGAACGGG
rnacentral:rRNA from 1 species